CCUGAGAAACCUAAAAGAUCGAAUGAAGAUAUUCAUCGUCAAUAUAUAAAAUAUAUAUAUAAUAUAUGAUAUAAAUUUUAUUAUAGCUUAAUUGUUAUUUUAUUAAUUUAUACAUAUAUGUAUUAUUUUAUUGUUUUAUAUUGUCGGCGUGCACUUAUCUUCUAGUAGAACAUUGUAACCCGUUAAAUAUUAAUUUACGGCCUUAUUGGGUAGCCUUUAAUUUUAUUUAUAAAAUUAAAGACCAAUUUGUGUUUCCUAAUUAAUUGUUUGACGGUAUUCAUAUGGUAUUAAGUCGCUCAAUAUAUUUAUGCGUUCUUACCCGUUGCAAGCAAGAUUAUUUUUUUAAUAGUUUACGGACCUAGUGCCGUCUAUUAAUAAUAAUCAGCUGUUGGCUAACUUGGGAUUAUCUAGAACUGACUUAUUUAAAAUACCGGUUAA
rnacentral:rRNA from 1 species